CCUAUGGUAGAAAGGAUUAUCAAUGAGGUGGCGAGCUGGCAGUAUUAUCAGCAAACUGGACAAGAGGUGUAGUGGCAUUUUGUCCAUGUUUACGUUCUGAGUUCAAAUUCUGCCAAAGUCAACUUUGCCUUCCAUCCUUUAGAGGUCAGUGAAAUAAAAACCAUUCGAGUGCUGGGGGUUAAAGUAAUCAACCCACCCACCCCGGCCCCCAAAUUGAUCUUUACUUCUGUAUUAGAAGGUUAAGGGUAGAUGUAAGUUGUAUAAGCAAUAUACUAGGGUUUCAUAUUUGGAUUUUCAGCAAAGGAAUACAAAACUAAAGAAAAGGGAGAGGUUUGAGACGGGAAUCAAUAGUUUUUGACAGUGUUGUUGUCUUUGGUAAAAUAUAACCAUUGUUGUGGUGGAGAUGGGAGUCCAAGAGGUGUGAGUUCAAACCCAGUUAGUGAUACUGAAGUGAGUUGUCAGUUAAUGGCUGAAACUUGUCCUAUUACUUUCUUAAGUGGUCAUUAAACAAGUUAAGAACAUAAAAGGGAAAUUAAGGAGUGGUUUGAGAAAGGGAGAGAUUAUCCGCUGAAUAUCUUACCUGGCUGUAAGAGAGAACAGGUAAGAAUAUGAAAAAAAUAUGAAACAUAUAGGAGCUCUGCUGGUUCCAAUCCUAGGUUUUCGGUUGUUUGGUCAACUGAAGCAACAGACUCAUUGAAUUUGCAUAUGAGUGGCUGAAUGUUCCACAGAUACAUUAAUGUAACUGUCAAGGUGACACUGUGUAUGACAAGGCUGGACUGUUUCAGCCGUGAAUCUUAUUACCUGGCUGUGAAAGAACAGGUAAGAAUAGAAAUAGAUGGGCAAAGAAUUCUACCUUGUCUAAUCUUGGACAUAGGCACCAGUAAAACCUUCUUUCUGAUGCUGUUGCUCCAUGUAGAUCUGCCUGGCAUCAGACAGUUGAACAGGAACAGAGAAUGGAAAACAGUGGCUUUUAAAGCAAGGCUUUGCACAUUUGGUGCAGAGUCACAAGUUGGAUUCAACAGAGAAGGUAAGGAGAGAGAGAGAGAGAUUUGUUGGUUGGAUGUGGGUGUCUUUUAGUAUGUAGUGGCAACAUUGAAGAGUUUUCUUGAAACUUUUCCAACUUGCCACUAUUAACGGCCUUUAUAAUAAUAACAAUCCUUUCUAUUAUAGGCUCAAAGCCUGAAAUGUUGUGGGUAGGGAACAGUUGAUUACAUCGACCCCAGUAUUCAACUGGUACUUAUUUUAUCGACCCUAAAAUGAUGAAAGGCAAAGUCGACCUCAGCAGAAUUUGAAUGCAGAAUGUAAGGAUGGACAAAAUGCUGCUAAGCAUUUUGCCUACAUGUCAAUGAUUCUGCCAGUUCUUCACCUUAUUAAUAAUAAUAAUAAUAAUUAUUAUUAUUAUUAUAUUAUUAUUAUUAUUGGGAGAUAGCUAAUCUGAUUUCCACCACCUGUCCCCUCCCUCUUCACAGUUUUGUGACCCAUAUUGUUGAUAACAGCUUGUAGUUAAAAACUGUAUUGGCUCUAGAUUGAAGAAUAUUCUGGUUAUGUUGAAUAUUAAUUGGGAAGCAGGCAGCUGGGAUUGAACCUGUGACCAGGAGCUGUGUGAAUUUCAAUAUGCGAAUUCUUUGGUAGUUGUCUCGGCACCAAGUACCACCAAAUCUCAGACAAUUCACCAUCUCAAAUGAAAUGGUAGUUUGGUUUUUUGUUUUGUUCUACUUUGGUUUUACACCCUUACCUGUGUCCAGUUUGAGCCAAUCAGUUAUCAUCAUCAUUUCUCUGCUUUUCCAUGCUAGUAUGGAUUGCAUGAGUCCCUUAUUGUCCUUUCUAUCCCUUUUAUGAAUUUCCAACAUUUUGAGAUGAAUCUUCACUGCUUGAACCCAUGUCUUCCUUAGUUUCUCUUUCACUCUUUCUUUCUACAAAGACCUGCCACUGUUUACACCACCUAUCAUUAUCUAUCUAUCUAUCUAUCUAUCUAUCUAUCUAUCUAUCUAU